rnacentral:rRNA from 1 species
UGGGGAAUAUUGGACAAUGGGGGGAACCCUGAUCCAGCCAUGCCGCGUGUGUGAAGAAGGCCUUAUGGUUGUAAAGCACUUUAAGCGAGGAGGAGGGUACUGGUAUUAAUACUACCAGGUACUGGACGUUACUCGCAGAAUAAGCACCGGCUAACUCUGUGCCAGCAGCCGCGGUAAUACAGAGGGUGCGAGCGUUAAUCGGAUUUACUGGGCGUAAAGCGUGCGUAGGCGGCUAAUUGAGUCGGAUGUGAAAUCCCCGAGCUUAACUUGGGAAUUGCAUUCGAUACUGGCGAGCUAGAGUAGGGCAGAGGGUGGUGGAAUUUCCUGUGUAGCGGUGAAAUGCGUAGAUAUAGGAAGGAACACCAGUGGCGAAGGCGACCACCUGGGCUCAUACUGACACUGAGGUGCGAAAGCGUGGGGAGCAAACAGG